AUGAGCCAAACAGUUAAGUUCAGAUUGGCUGUACCACAAUGUGGUCAUUUUGCUCAUCUGAACAUGGCUUACACCAAAAGAAACUAUCCUGCGCACAUAGCUGUUUCUCUCCUCCUUCUUUAUGACACAGAAGGUUUCUGGAGAGUGGAGCUAAGCCACACCCACCCUCCAGUCCUGCAUCCAGUCAACAAAUGCCAAGGACGUCUCUGUGGAACAUCAGGAAAACCUCUAACCAUGAAGCAUGAGAAUUAUGGGGACACAGAAUAUGGUGUGUAUCCGCCUAGGCAUGUGCUUGGAGAGAACCGUGGUGAAACUCCCCGGGACAUCAAUGUUUCUACAGAUGUUUUGCACAAAACUAAACAUUUGAACUGGUAAGUAAUUUAAACAUUUUUACAUUAGAACACACAUGGCUGUAUUAAGGAAUAGUAUAUAAGGGAGCACAUUGAGGGGCUGGCCCCAUGGCCGAGCGGUUAAGUUCGUGCGCUCCGCUCUGGCAGCCCAGGGUUUCACUGGUUCAGAUCCUGGCUGUGGACAUGGCACCGCUCAUCGGGCCAUGCUGAGGAGGCGUCCCACACAGCACAACCAGAGGGACCUACAAUGAGAAUAUACAACUAUGUACUGGGGGGCUUUGGGGAGAAGAAGAAGAAAAGAAAAAGAAAAAAAAAGAAGAUGGGCAACAGAUGUUAGCUCACGUGCCAAUCUCUAAAAAUAAAAGAGCACACUGAAUCUAUUCA
rnacentral:lncRNA from 1 species